rnacentral:rRNA from 1 species
GAUGAACGCUAGCGGGAGGCUUAACACAUGCAAGUCGAGGGGCAGCAUAGGGUAGCAAUACUCUGAUGGCGACCGGCAAACGGGUGAGUAACGCGUAUGCAACCUACCCUGUACAGGGGGAUAACCCGGAGAAAUUCGGACUAAUAUCCCGUAAUAAUAUCCGGAGGCAUCUUUGGAUAUUUAAAGUUUCGACGGUACGGGAUGGGCAUGCGUAACAUUAGCUGGUUGGUAAGGUAACGGCUUACCAAGGCUAUGAUGUUUAGGGGUCCUGAGAGGGUGGUCCCCCAACUGGUACUGAGACACGGACCAGACUCCUACGGGAGGCAGCAGUGAGGAAUAUUGGACAAUGGGCGAAAGCCUGAUCCAGCAAUGCCGCGUGAGUGAUGGAAGGCCUUAGGGUUGUAAAGCUCUUUUACCAGGGAUGAUAAUGACAGUACCUGGAGAAUAAGCUCCGGCUAACUCCGUG